AAGAAAGGAAACGCGGUGAUGUGGUUUCACGUCGGAAGUAAAUACACGGCGGACCAUUAUACCCAACGCGUAGCAGUUGGCAGUUUUCACUUGCAAUACUACUUAUUUUUCUAAAUUGAAAUUAUAUUACAAACUAUACUUUCAUCUAUUCAGAUUUAAAAUCACCGUUUUUGAAUUGUAUGAUAAAAUGUUUACCAAGCCGUUUCGCGUUAAAUCAAACACCGUAAUGAAGGCAUCGGAUAGGAGAAAGCUUAAAGCUGACAUAUCGGCAGCCUUUCCCUCCCUGUCUUCUGAUGAAUUAACUGAGGUGAUCCCCAACAAAGAGGAAUUAAAUGUUGUGAAGAUUUACGCACACAAGGGAGACACGGUGACAUUAUAUGUUCUUCAUAAAAAUCCACUGUUUUUUCAACUGGAGAAACACUUGUAUCCUACAGUCUAUAUGCUUUGGCGCUACCCUGAUGCUCUACCAACGUUCAGGACAUGGCCUCCUGUACUUCACAAGUUGAUUGGAGGAGCUGAUCUCAUGCUUCCAGGUGUGGUGCCGCCUUGUAGCGGACUCCCAGACUUAAAGCAGGGAGACUGCUGUGCUGUUACAAUUGUCAAUAACAGAGCUCCAGUUGCAGUUGGCACAGCGGCAGUUUCCAGUGCAGAAAUGGUCAGUUUGGGUAUGAAAGGGCGAGGAGUAUGCAUUUUGCAUACAUACAUGGAUCAUCUCUGGGCCUUUGGAGAAAAAUGUAGUCCCCCCGUUAUACCAGAUCCAGAGGGUAAACAACCUGUUGUGAAUGAUGAAGAAUGUGAGGAUGACGAGCAAAGAGAUGAAGAGGAGGAAGGCAAUGGAAGUGCAGAGCAGGAGCUGCGACAAAGCGAGCCACUUGUAGAUCAAACCUGCUCUGGUGUGGGCGAGCUGAGCCUUGCUGAGCAGGAGGAAGGAAGGAAGGAGUGGGAAAAAGCAAAUGAAGAAGGGGAAAAUAAUCAAGAUGAUCAUAAAUCACCACAAGAGGACAUGGACUCCUUGUUCCUGCAGUGUUUCCUCUGUGCUCUCAAAAGCAAGGUGAAGAAAUCGGAGCUCCCUCUGCUGACAAGCACAUUUCUCCGCAACCACAUGUUUUCCUGCUGCCCGAGUGGAAAACAACUAGAUAUUAAAAAAUCCAGUUAUAAAAAGCUGUCCAAGUUUCUGCAGGUUAUGCAGCAGCAGCACAGCAUUGUACGAGUGAAAGAAUUGACGAAGGGCGUGGAGAGUAUUGUAGAAGUGGACUGGAAAAACCCAGAAUUACGCUCCUUUUGUGUUCCUGAGGAAGCGGAAGUUGAAGCAAUUCCACUACAAAGCGGAGGAGAAGAAAUGUAUCAUCCUCCUGAAAUCACCAUUUUAUACUCUGUGUCAGCCCGAUUAGAGCCUCUUUUUCAGGAUGCAAAAAAAAGGAAAGGUGUGAUACUGCAGCCUGCAGAGGUGAGAAGUAUAGUCACUGACUAUGUGAAGAUGAAUGACUUGGUGAAUGAAAACAAUAAGAAUUAUGUUAGCAUCAACCCUACACUGUGUGACUGUGUGCUUGAAAAAUCAGAAUACCAGGAAAUAGAGUCUCUUAAGUGGGAGGACCUUUUCAGCAGGACACUCGGGAGAAUGCAGCAGUGCUAUCAAAUGGUGUUUCCUGGACAGAUACCCAUAAUAAAGAAAGGCCACGUUGAACCCAUAGAUAUCACUGUCGCUUCCCGAGGCUCCAAUAAAAAGGUUACCCUAAUAAAGAACCUGGAAGUAUAUGGUUUGGAUCCUACUGCUGUGGCCACUGCAUUACAGCACCGAGUUCAAGCCAGAUCAGUCCUACAGCCUGUUCCAGGGGCCAAAGACAAAGUCCUGGUCCAGAUUCAAGGCAACCAGAGUCAACAAGUUGGCCGUUUGCUCCUUGAUCAUUAUCAAAUUCCUGGCAAGUACAUCCAAGGGUUAGACAAAGCUGUUAAAUGUGGAAAGAAGAAGUAGCAUUUUAGCAGUCUACCCUUCACCUUGUGCAAAGCUUACACAGCUGCUCUAUUCUGUUAAGAAAGCUGUAGGUGUGAAAUGCACUGAGAGAUGAGAGAUGUGGGCGCAGCUGAGAGGCCUCGGAUUGGUAAAAAACUGGCCCAUCUAUAAAUAUUAAUCUUUACACUUGUUGGUAGAGUUAGCGCUCACAUUUAGAUUUAGACUUAGUUUCGAUAUUUAGGUUCAGAUUUAGAUGUAUCCUUUCUUUUUUUUUUGUCCUGUCCAGCUACUCAGGCAAAUCAUAUUGUUGAUGUAGAUGCCCAUAUCUGCUGUACAGAUUUACUUUUUCAAAAGAGAAGUGUCGGAUACUUCUCUUGUUGCCUUAUGUAUAUUUGAUUUUAUUAAUUGGAUUUAUUUAAUGUGUGGCGCAGUCGGACCGCAGAAGGAGGGUAUAGAAAGAAGAAGAAAAAAAGAAGCCAGAGGGGGAAAUAGCUGGGACAAGAAGGGGAUAAGACAGAGAGACAACAGCAAAACAACAUCAGCAAAUCUGAUAUGAAAAAUGAUAGCAAAGAACCAGUUACUGAAGUAGUUAGUAAUAACACAAAUAAGACAAUGAACAGCAUUGCACGACAAAUGUAAUAAGAAAAUACUAAUAUAAAUAUAGUGAUAAAAAUAAUCAUUACAUCAAUUAUCAACAAUACAAUUGUUUCAUAUGUAACAAUACAUAAAGUCAUGGCCAAAAAUAUAUUCUGUCAGAUAAUGCACCACUUCUCUCAGUAAAUUAUUGAAAUUACAAAUGCUUUGCUGCUCACGUGUUUCUUGUGUUUGCAUUGGAACAAAAAAAAACAAAAAAGCCAAAUCUGAUAUUAUUUUACACAGAACUCCCAAAAUGGACUGGACAAAAUUGUAAGCACCUUUUCAAAGUUGUAAGAAAUAGUUGUAUCCUAAGCAUGUGAUGCUCCUUUAAUUUGUAAUUAAUUUCACCUGAAGCAAGUAACGGGUGCUGGCAAUAUAGAAAUCACACUUGCAGCCAGUGAAGAAAUGAAGAAAAGUUGACUCAACCUUUGUGUUGAGUGUACCACACUGAGCAUGGAGAAAAGAAAGGAGAGCAAAUAACUCAGGACAUUUUGAGACCCAAGAUUGUGGAAAAGCAUGGACAAUCUCAAGGCUACAAGUCCAUCUCCAGAGAUCUAAAUGUUCCUGUGUCUACUGUGCGCAAUGUCAUCAAGAAGUUUAAACCCCAUGGCACUGUAGCUAACCUCCCUGGACGUGGACGGAAGAGAAAAAUUGAUGAAAGAGUGCAACGAAGGAUUGUUAGAAUUGUGGAUAAAGAACCUCGAUCCACUUCCAAACAAAUUAGAGCUGACCUGCAGACACAGGGUACAACAAUGUCAGCUCGCACUAUCUCUCGCCAUCUCAAUGAAAAGGGACGCUAUAGUAGGAGACCCAGGAGGACCCCACAGCUCACACAUAGACAUAAAAAAACAAGACUGGAGUUUGCAAAAACUUACCUGAGGAAGCCAAAAUCCUUCUGGGAGAACGUCAUGUGGACAGAUGAGACUAAAGUGGAGCUUUUUGGUAAAGCACAUCAUCACACUGUUUACAGAAAACAAAAUGAGGCCUUUCAAAGAAAACAACACCACCCCUACAGCCCUACAGUCAAACAUGGUGGCGGUUACUGAUGUCUUGGAUGUCUUCUGGGACCGGAUUCCUUGACUGUGUGCAUGGCAUCAUGAAAUCUGAGGACUCAUCUUAAUUUGUGAAGAUCGCUGUCCGUGGGUAUAUCUCAAAUAUAUUAAAGUACGCCCACAGCGCAGACAUGCUGCCUCCGCUCCAGACAACCCUGUGCGUAUAGCUUACGUCAUCACAACAUGGGUUUCGAGAGCACUGUUCUGGUGAUUAAAGUACAUCUCUUUCCGGCCAAAUUUUCAGUGCAUAAUUAUUCAAUAGUGCGCAAGUAAUAAACUAUAUAUAGCCAUUCAUACUGUAACUACCUGCUGGUGUUAAUGUGUAUGUUAGUGUGUUAUGAUGGUCAUUUUUCCCAUGGUCUGUGAACACACCGUGUCGGUGGAGAAUGAAGAAGUGGUGUCAUGUGUGUCUAGGAGUGAAGCACGGAGGCAGACGUGUGUGCAUGGAGGAAAUACUUGUUGGAAUUGGGCCCGUUGUUAGCAUCAAAUUGGCAAUAAAAGCUAAAAAGAAAGUAAUACUUUUUCUUCUGCACGCUACAAUACAUUAUAUUACUUUAUUUUGUUAGGUGUGGCGGCUAAUAUGCAUAUUAAGGAGAAACUCUAAAUGUAGUUCAACCGGAUGUAUACCGUAGUGCCUUUAUUUUGAAGCCGGAAAAGUGUGUGAUUGUUUUGAGAAUGUGUCUUGACAUGUUUUAAUGUCUGAUCGACUGUUUGCUUUAGUUUAAUUUUGGCAAAUGUUUGAAUGAAUUAGAAUUGUUUGGCAGCCUUGUGAUUCACUUUACACUUUUUUUCCGCGUGUAACAUACGCUCUCUGGUGACUACAGCAUCAUGUCAGCCUACAGCAUCCUCACGUCAGCCUACAGCACUUGCAAAAAAUAAUUUGAUCUGUGUCACUUGAGGGCAGAAGAAUUUGAUUUGGUGUGCAGUGUAAACGGGGCGAGAGACAUACAGAAAGUUUUGAACACUUUGUAGAGUGGCAGGCAGCAUCUGUGGACUGUGUGAAACCUUCUUAAAACAAUGUCCAAGUGUCCCUAGCUGAUGCAGCUACCUCUCCUCACAUGAAUCUUUACUCCAGUGUUACUGUUGACUUCAGUGUUUACAGUAGAAUCAGAAUCAGAAAUACUUGAAUAAUCCCCGAAGGGAAAUUAGGAUGUUCAGCACAAUCUCAUUCAACAUCAGACAAACAUUACAGGGAGACAGAACAGGAUCGCUGACGGGUCUGCCAUCUUCCGGCGCCCCUUACAAAAAAGGUGAGAAACAGGUAAACGCUGGGGAAGGGGGGAUGAGAAAAAAAAAAAAUCAGUCUAAGCCUGGGCCCCUGGAGAGGGGAUCCAGACUGAGGCCAAGGGGAAAAAAAGAACACAAAGGACAUUAAAAGAGCAGAUAUGAUGCAACCAGCCACUUCUACACACAGCCACAAAAGUAAAACAACAACAAAAAGCAUAUACACUGUGGUGGCCUCUGCGGUGUUCCACGCCAUCGUCUGCUGGGGUGGGGGGAGCAUGGCCAGAGACAGGAGCAGACCCAACAAAGCAACCAAGAGAGCCGACUCCACCCUCGGCCACACUAACUCUCGGCCAGUGUCCAGUCCGCAUGGAUGAGCGAGGUUACGUCCAAGGAGACCGAGGUGUCCGAUACCUGCUCAUUCAGCCAAGACACUGUGAAGCUUGUCCAUCCCGACGCUCAGCGCCAGCUCCGCAGCCCUGUCUCUUCAUCCGCAUCUUUUCCAGUCUCUCCAAACAAACUCUGGUGUGGCAGAGACCCAGCAGCUGGUCUCCAUGGCCAAAAGGCAGAUCCAGCAGUUCACAAAGAAGGGAAUGGCGCUGCUUUCUGCUUGCUCGCGUCAACGUCGUCACUUCUUGUCUGC